CCUUGCUAGCGGCCGCUGCUGUGGCCAUUUGCGCAUGCGCCGCCUCCAACUGAAGCGGCCACGCGCAAGGACUGCUGGAGCCCGCGCAUGCUUGUAAGGGUCGCCUGGGCGAGCGGCGAUCCUCCAGCCCUUGCUCGCGGCUGGAAGCAGUCGUGUGCAAGGGCCGCAACAGUGGUCCUUGCGCCUCCAGUGGCCCUUGCGCGCGGCCACUCCACCUGGAGGCGGCGCAUGCGCGCAAUGGCCGCUGCCUGGAGCGACUGCUCCUAAGAGCAAUCGCCGCAGCGGCAGCCGCCUGCCCCGGGCGGGGCAAACCCACCUCCCCAACCGGUGAAAAGCCGUGCAUGCCCUGCCCCCAGGCCGGAUCUGGCAACCCUAGCGCCUGUGUAAUGACCUCCUGAAGAGAUCUGAACUCAAAAGCUGGUCUCUUUUGUGGCAGCCCAGUUAGGGCCAGAGCUUGGGGCAAGAGAGGAGCCAGAGGCAAAGGAAGAGGCAACCCAGAAGAUGCAGCAUGAGUUUAAUCGGACAGAGGCUUCGUUUAAGAGUCCUGUUCCUCUUUAGGAACCCUUUCCUUGUCCAUCAGUCAGCAUCAUGAUCUUCUGCUUGCCUCCCGGCUUCACUCUUGAGAUCCACUCCUAAAACAUAUUCAUUAGCCAUCAUUUUCUUGCAAGCUCUUUGGCUUUCCCUUUUGCCUUGGAAAUGCUCCAGUCCCAGCCCAUUGUUGCUGUUUACAGCUUGCUGUCAUUUGUGAAAGUAUCUGUGUCUGUAGCUUCUUUUUCAAGCUGUGGUAGUCUCUUCCUUUGCUUGUUGCUCUUGGGGAGUUGUCUAACAGUCAUUUCUUCAGCCCUGGACUGCUGCACCUCUGAGUGGAUGGGGCGCCUAUAACUCCCUUGGUCCAGUUCACAGCAAGGUUCCUCAGUGAAUGCAACAUGCCUCUCGACUGCCUGGUUCUGUGUUUCAAGAGAGAAGAAAUACAUGGGGUCAUUUCUACCUAGACUACAUUUGAGCCAAUCCCCCUAAUUCCAUCUGAAGUGGAAGAAUCGUGACUCAGUUCAGUUAAAUUUGGCCACAGAGUUGCCCUGGAGGAGGCAGACAGUCCUGGAGAGAACGUAUUCAUGAAACACAUACAUAAUCAAAGCCGCAAAUGUGGAGGGAUGACUGGGAUUGCGUCUGCAGCAGACGCCCAAACUCCCUCAGAUAAAGGUAGGAGUCAAUACUUCCCUGCCUCUCUGGAUUCAGCCCCCAUGGAUUUGUUGCUGUCUUGGUAUAAAUACAUGAACACAAGAAAACUAAGGGACAGUACAACCCUCCAAGGAUAACCAGCAGACCGUAUUAUGACUGGCUGAUCCCUUCUGGGUUGAUGGGAAUGUAUUCCUGGGGAAAGAACUCAAAUGUUUCUUUCAAAAUCAUCUUUAAAAACUCCAAGAGUGAAAUAAAGACCCACUUUCUUCCAUAAUGUUGGUGCAGGCAGCCAAGUGCCAGCUUUCCAGAUGAUACUUGUGGCAUCUUCUAAGCCUGUUAAGGCAACUUGUCUGCCCAGGGCUUCAAAUAUUGCCUAGGACAGUGAUGGUGAACCUUUUUGAGGCCGAGUGCCCAAACUGCAACCCAAGACCCACUGAUUUAUUGCAAAGUGCCAUGUCCCUCUGACUUUCCAGUAACAAACUCUGGCAAACACUGUGCUGGGGCAAUGGCACAUGUGCCCACGCGUGCCAUAGCUUCGCCAUCACUGGCCUGUGACCUCAGACAUGGUCUGUGACCUCAUUGGCCAGAAAAAACCACAUGAGACAGAUGUACUCAAACCAAGGACCAGUAUCAGGGGAAUAAUACUGAAUGGCUUUAAAGAGAUCAAGAGCACCAUCCUGGCCAUUCUUUCAUGACUUCAGACUGCUUAACGCAUGCUAACUUUCUUGCCUGUGAUGUUUUCCUCCUCAACAGAUGGCUGCUUAUUUUGGAUUUGCUGUGGCUGCCACUGACAUCAACAAAGACAGUUGGACCUGCCUCCAACAUCUUUUCCUUGGCAAGAACAGCACUAUGUCCAAAAGCAAGAUGGAGGAUGGAGUAGUGGAUCUGGAGGGCAUGGCUUCAGUCUGAAAGAGAAUCAUCCUCACAUCAUCCAGUGUGAAGCAGUCUAUCAUGUACAGAAAGUACCUUACCACAUCCAACCUGAGGAGCAGCCCUCUGCCAGCCUGAAGGUGUCAACGUCACUGCACUGGGCCAAGGGAGAGGCCAGCCAGGGGAAGG